ACCCGUCAUCUUUCUUGAUAAGUCCUGAUUAUACUUCAACAGUUCCAAAGGGUUGCUUGGCAGUAUAUAUUGGGGAGAAGCAAAGAAGAAGAUUUGUGGUUCCCAUUUCAUACCUGAAUGAUCCUGCCUUCCAAGACUUGUUAAAUCAAGCUGAGGAAGAAUUUGGGUUCAGCCAACCAGAAGGCGGCCUCACUAUUCCCUGCUCAGUGGACACAUUCAUUCACCUUGCUUCACACCUGGAUAGAUCAUAGAGAAAAACAUUUAUAUACUGGUAGAUAGUAUGGCAUUGAAAUGUAAAUAGUAGAAUAGAGAUUUUAAUCAGAUUUUUGUUGGCAACGGAUGAUUUGAAGCUCACCAUUUUGUUGAAUUUAACUUUACCAAAAUUUAUCCAUCAUAGUUUCUUCUUAAAAAUCUCUAUUCUACUAUUUAAUAUAAAGAACUAAAAAAUUUGAUUGCCAAAUUAGUAACUUUUUCUUGUAAUAUAUGCACUCGUAAAGCAAAUUAGGGAUUUUGAAAUCUCCUUAUGAUUUGCAUCCAAUGACAUUCGCAUAGAAAAGAAAAUGAUCUGAAGACUGCAGGCUCUUCCUUAGAUUUUAGGCAUCCAGGAGAUUUUCUGAUUACAAUGAGACAGCAAAUUUUCUUCUGUCUUGGCUACCUGCUGCAUGUAAUGACAUAUGAUUCGAACUGUGAAUGUCAAGUCUGGUCAGAGUUAGAAAGUUAAACUUAUCUACCCAGAACCAAUAAAUGAUGUUCUUGAUAAAAACAGCAAAUUUCAGAGGCAAUGAUUGUUGAAUGCAGACAGGUUUACAUAUUAUCCUUUAGGUGGUACUAACAUAAAAUGGAAUGAAACGACAAGCUUAUCAGUGGCUUCGUGGCUUACAUGAAGACUACAAAAAAACCUGCACAACUGAAAUUGUAAGGUUGAGUAUGUCAACUGCUAGAGUGAAUUUGAAUAAACAAGUUCUUCACAUCAAUCCAAAGAGAUCUCGGUAAUCCCAGGAGAGCAAUAUGUAUGAAUAAAUAGAUGCUAAUCAAUUAAGCAAAAUAAAUUCUUCACUGAUAUGUAAAAAUAAUAAUUCUGUGUAAUGAGAUGGUUACUCUAAUCUUCCCUAGGUUAUCAAAUGGAAGCGGAUUGAGUAGUAUACAGUACAAACCAGAACCUUACAAAAUUGUUAGUACCAGAUUAUAGCUACUUGUUUCUUAUAUCUGCGCAAGACUAAACUGAGGUUAACCAAUGUCUUCUCUACACGGAAAAGCCACUUCAAACAAUAAAGACAUAGAAAUUGCUCUUCUUUUGAACAAUUACAUUUGUGAUCGGACCAAUAAUGUAUAAAGCUGCUUAUCUAUAUUUCAAAUAAAAAUGACUACAUACUGAUUGCAGAGAUCAAAUCCAUGUAGAAAUUAAUGAAAUCAAAUUACAAAGUAUCAGCUAAUGUUCUACCUACAAGAUUUAUAUGAGAGCCAUAUAUAAAAUUUCUAGACUAGCUUACAAAAUUUGUACACUGUCUAACAACAUAUAUAUAAACUCUCAUAAUCUGUUCAAGAGAUCAAUGAAGGUGUCUUCUUUGCAUGGAAUUGUGAGGCCACCUUCUGGCUGACUAAACCCAAAUUCUUCCUCUGCUUGACUUAACAGUUCUUGGAACGUAGGCUCGUUUAAGUAAGAAAUCGGAACUACAAAUCUUCUUCUUUGGUUCUCCCCAACAUAAACUGCAAUGCAUCCCUUAGGGACAUUUGUACUACGAUCAAAAUUUUUUAAGGAAAAUUGUCUGUUGAGAAUUUGCUUGAGAUUAGUGAUAUGAGGCACACGAAUACCCAUGAUGCUCAAGAAAAAUUGAAACUUCAACGGAUAAUCUCUGGGGAUAUCGAAAAUACAAGAACUUCUGAAGAUGGAAGGCUUAGACCCUUAAUUACACUUGAUUUUGUGAUGAAAUUGGUUGAGGAUAUCACAGUUUUUAUAUAGAAAUGACAAGUAAUGAGUGGUUGAUUUAAAUGCAGAUUGAGUGGCACAGAUGCAUUAGGCAAUAGCACAUGCUAUUCUCUUUCAAAGGCCACACAUAUUUAAGAGUAAUGUCUGUUGAGAGACGUCAAUUCCUACUGCUUCUGUUCAACAAAUCUGGACCUGAUAUAUUCUCAUGUCCUACUGAUAGUGUAGAUAAGACAGAAUAUAACAUAAAAUAUACGGAUAUGAACAAGAUACAGAUAAUUUGGCUGGAAAGUCCUCACUUUGCCUGGAAACCAAGGUAGCAAAUUUUAUGUUGUUAGUUUUUGUGGUCAGUAGUUGUGGGUGGGACAGACAAGUUAGGUACUCAUGUGAUAGUGUUUUCAUUCACCUAGCCUAGCUGUUUAUUUUGUGUAGUAGGAAACACCUGAUACAAGUUGUUAUAUCCAUGAAAGAAAGGGCAAAUUUAUGUAAGAAAUAGAUGACUGUUAGGAUUUUGUGUGUUAGGAUUAUAAGUUUUUAUAUGUUUAUAUUCACAAAACAAAAAGUAAAUAAAAAUAGACGGGUGCUGGUCCCCAGCAUAUGGUUGCUGGGGAGGGUUUAAACAACAUACAGCUCCUGAACUGUUGGAUCAGAUGAGGGACGGCUGAGAUAAAAAAAAAAAUGUUCUCGUCCAGCGCUUAAAAACCGCUGAACGGUACACGUAGAAUUUUUUUAUUUUUUUUGUGUCCAGCGCCUAAGAAGCGCUGGAAGCACAGGCAAAUUUCAUGUGCGGCUCUGGAGCCUGUUAUCAAGUUCUCAAAAGGUUUAUUAGCCUUGUUCAUUGAAAAUAGCUCUCAUUCUUGUUAUCAUUUUUUCUAGAAGAUCUUGACAAGCCAAAUGAAUAUAUAUCUUCUGUCUGGGCCUUGGUGCCUCCGGUAACUCCCAAGCCAGGCCCCUGAUUCACCAGAAUUUUAUUAGGAGAUAAUUCCAAAGAUGUGAAGGGUUCUCGAUUUGCAAAAUUCAUAGCUGAAAGACAGAAAAUGCUAAAGAAGAUUUCUGACAGAUAAAUUAGAUAGCUCUUUUAUCAAAUUUCUUCCCAGCAAGUUGUGACAGUUGCCCAAUUCCAGUAUAAAUUAGGAAGAGAACUGCCACCAACUGGAAAUAUACUUUGAAGAUCCACUAGAAGCCAUGAAAAAAUAUAUCACCACAUCUGCUUCUGCUGCAGAAGAAUGAGAGCUAUUUUUAAGAUAAAUGAGGCUAUUAACCUUUUGAGAACUUGAUAAUAGGCUCCAGAGCUGCACAUGGAAUGCGGAAUUUCAGAUGUUGUAUAAGCAUCCCUCCAUCAUGCCUUGUAUUGCUGCAUCAACAUUAAUUUAUAUCUUCUCUGGUUGCCUGUGCUUCCAGUGCGUUUUAAGCGCCGGACACAAAAAAAUAUCCUCUCGUCCAGUGCUUAAAAACCGCUGGAUGUGUACCAUUCAGUGUACACAUCCAGCGGUUUUAAAACGCUAGACGAGAACAUUUUUUCUUCUGAUCUCAGCCGUCCCUCGCUAUAUCCAACGGUCCAGAAACCGUAUGUUGUUUAAACUCUCCCCAACAAUCAUAUACUGGGGACCAACACCCAAAACAGAUUGUUGAAAUAUAGCAUAAGGUCCAUUCUAGGCCUUCCUCUAACACUUUAAGGUUUCAGAUGGAUUGUUUUUCAACAUGGUAUCAGCCAUCAGGGCUCUGAUUUGGCGGAGGUCUCAAAUGUCCACGUAGGCAUUAAUUACCCCAAAGAUGGGCGCCCGUGAUUCCCUCUUUAACCCAAAAAUGGGACUCCAGACCGCGUCUUCACUAAUUCCUUGAGAGCCGUCAUUUUGGCUCACAACUUCACCACUUCUGAUGAAUGACCUUUACUUGAGCAAUCCUCCUUCAAUUCCUCAUGCUCCGACCAAUCAUCUGCAGAUGCUUUCUUCUUGCGUCGAAACGAGCUAUACGAGCCAACCGAAUCCUCCCUUCUAGAGCGUUCACUAUACGCUGAACCUCGAAAGGAGGAUUCGUAAUCCUCUGUUGGAUACUCGGAUGAAGCAACAUGCUCAUCCUUCUUUUUCGCAAAUUCCUCUUCCCAUUUCUCAGCCUCACGCCUCUGCUUCAUCUGAAACUCUAUCCGUCUCCGCUCGCGGUCAAGGGUGUCAAGUUCGCUCUUGAUCGCUUCACGGUUCAACUGCUCCUUAUCUUCAACAGCCAAUCUUUUGGCCUUAAGCUUCUCUAAAUGCAAUCUCGCAUCACCAGAAUGUGCCUUUUUACCUUGCGGCGUCACUGCCAGUGUGCGUGUACGGCGACGUCGCCUACUACCACCUCCGGUAGGAUCCGAAUAAGCCGGACCACCGCGAGAUUCACCUGCUCUAGUUUCGAACAGCUUUUUGUGUUUUAGUGUCUAUCUCCUUAGUUACUAUCACCUCUCGUGUUUCCAGAACUUGUAUCGUCUCCCUCGCUUCAUCUGCCAUGGUAGAUCUGCCCCCUCCUUCUAGCGCCAAAUGCUGAUCUGCCCUCUCCUUCUAGCGCCAAAUGCUGGAACAGUGUAUGUAUGUUUAUUACAGAGUGUAUGUAUCUAUUCUAUUCUCAGAUUCCAACCCUGUGUUAGCUGCUCUGUUUAUAUAGCACUCUGGCACGUGACUUCCUCAUGCUUGCUGUUUGGGCUUAUUCUUCUUUGGGCUGCCUCUCACUCUGGGCCAAGGCCCAACAACUUCAACAGUUCCAAAGGGUUACUUGGCAGUAUAUAUUGGGGAGAAGCAAAGAAAAAGAUUUGUGGUUUCCAUUUCAUACCUGAAUGAUCCUGCCUUCCAAGACUUGUUAAAUCAAGCUGAGGAAGAAUUCAUUCAUUCACCAUUCAUUCACUAUUCCCUGCUCAGUGGAAACAUUCAUUCACCUUACUUCACGCCUGGAUAGAUUAUAGUGAGAAAACAUUUAUGUACAGGUAGAUAGUAC
rnacentral:lncRNA from 1 species